rnacentral:lncRNA from 1 species
UGGGUUUGCAAGUUAAGAACUCAGUAUGUACAUCUGGAAAUAGGGCUGCACUUUGUCCUGGCGCGAGGGAUGUAUUAUGGGCCAGUCAGUCAAUGGCAGCAGUAGUCGAAACUUGGUGACGCAGGGUAACAGAAGCGGUGGCUGCCGCAGUUCAAGUGGCUGCUAGGGAGACGACUAUGGCGGUGACGGCAGCUACACCUCAAUCUCGCUGAUGUCAUGGGUGAAGCAUUAUGUCGAAGAGGGUUCAGAUUCUCGCCAUUCACCUGUAAGAUUUACGGGUAACCAAAUUGCUGGGGGGGUGUGGCCAAAAUAUAGGUACCAGGUUUUAUUAGCGAACAUGGCUGGAUGGACGCACGAGGACUUAGGGACAGUAUCAUUGAGCUUGACAGCGGAACUGGUUACGAUGAAGAAAAAUGGCGAUGGAAGACAGGCUGUGAACGAAAAGACAGAGCAGGACACAUCAGGAAUAGUGAUUGUCUUUUGGAGAUGACCUCAGGACCACCCACCCCUGUAUUAGAAGAACAGACUGAAAAAGCAGAUUUUCGAACAGUAACUUGCUGUCUGAUAUUCCUGGCAGAAAUACAAAAACAUACUUUCAUCUCAAAUUUAUGACACCAU